rnacentral:rRNA from 1 species
GAUGAACGCUGGCGGCGUGCCUAAUACAUGCAAGUCGAGCGAACAGACGAGGAGCUUGCUCCUCUGACGUUAGCGUCGGACGGGUGAGUAACACGUGGAUAACCUACCUAUAAGACUGGGAUAACUUCGGGAAACCGGAGCUAAUACCGGAUAAUAUAUUUAACCGCAUGGUUCAAUAGUGAAAGACGGUUUUGCUGUCACUUAUACAUGGAUCCGCGCCGCAUUAGCUAGUUGGUAAGGUAACUGCUUACCAAGGCAACGAUGCGUAGCCGACCUGAGAGGGUGAUCGGCCACACUGGAACUGAGACACGGUCCAGACUCCUACGGGAGGCAGCAGUAGGGAAUCUUCCGCAAUGGGCGAAAGCUUGACGGAGCCACGCCGCGUGAGUGAUGAAGGUCUUCGGAUCGUAAAACUCUGUUAUUAGGGAAGAACAAAUGUGUAAGUAACUAUGCACGUAUUGACGGUACCUACUCAGAAAGCCACGGCUAACUACGUG